AAAUAUGUAGUUUAAUGGCAAAACACUGUGCUCAUGAUACAGGUCAUAUAAGUUCGAUUCUUAUCAUAUUUA
rnacentral:tRNA from 1 species